CCGAUGCAAACUGCCAAUAGCGGAAAUGUUAUCACGGGAGACACACUNUGGGUGCUAACGUCCGUCGUGAAGAGGGAAACAACCCAGACCGCCAGCUAAGGUCCCAAAGUCAUGGUUAAGUGGGAAACGAUGUGGGAAGGCCCAGACAGCCAGGAUGUUGGCUUAGAAGCAGCCAUCAUUUAAAGAAAGCGUAAUAGCUCACUGGUCGAGUCGGCCUGCGCGGAAGAUGUAACGGGGCUAAACCAUGCACCGAAGCUGCGGCAGCGACNCUUAUGCGUUGUUGGGUAGGGGAGCGUUCUGUAAGCCUGUGAAGGUGGCCUGUGAGGGUUGCUGGAGGUAUCAGAAGUGCGAAUGCUGACAUAAGUAACGAUAAAGCGGGUGAAAAGCCCGCUCGCCGGAAGACCAAGGGUUCCUGUCCAACGUUAAUCGGGGCAGGGUGAGUCGACCCCUAAGGCGAGGCCGAAAGGCGUANUCGAUGGGAAACGGGUUAAUAUUCCCGUACUUGGUGUUACUGCGAAGGGGGGACGGANAAAGCUAUGUUGGCCGGGCGACGGUUGUCCCGGUUUAAGCGUGUAGGCUGGUUUUCCAGGCAAAUCCGGAAAAUCAAGGCUGAGGCGUGACGACGAGGCACUACGGUGCUGAAGCAACAAAUGCCCUGCUUCCAGGAAAAGCCUCUAAGCAUCAGGUAACAUCAAAUCGUACCCCAAACCGACCAGGUGGUCAGGUAGAGAA
rnacentral:rRNA from 1 species